GAGACACGUAGCCGCAGUGAAAGCGAGCCUGAAGAGGGCGCACAGUCAGUGGGGGUAGACGCGAAACCAAGUGAUCUACACUUGGCCAGGAUGAAGUCCCGGUAACACGGGAUGGAGGUCCGCACCAAUAAGCGUUGAAAAGCUUCUGGAUGAGCCGAGUGUAGGAGUGAAAGGCCAAUCAAACUUGGAGAUAGCUCGUACUCCCCGAAAGGCAUUUAGGUGCCGCGUCGGAUGGUCACCGUGAGAGGUAGAGCGACCGAUAGGACAAGAGGGCUUCACCGCCUAUCGAGUCCUGACGAACUCCGAAUGCUCACGGUCUGCAGUCCGGCAGUAAGGGGGCGGGUGCUAAGGUCCGUCCCCGAGAGGAGAAGAAUCCAGACCGCCGUCUAAGGUCCCGGAGUUCUGCCUGAGUUAGUCUAACGAAGUCUGGUCCCUAUGACAGCUAGGAUGUUGGCUUGGAAGCAGCCAUUCAUUCAAAGAGUGCGUAACAGCUCACUAGUCGAGGGUCCGGGCAUGGAUAAUAAUCGGGUAUAAGGCAGACACCGAAGGCGCGGGAUAGCA
rnacentral:rRNA from 1 species